AACGAACGCUGGCGGCAUGCCUAACACAUGCAAGUCGAACGAGACCUUCGGGUCUAGUGGCGCACGGGUGCGUAACGCGUGGGAACCUGCCCUUAGGUUCGGAAUAACUCCCCGAAAGGGGUGCUAAUACCGGAUAAUGUCUUCGGACCAAAGAUUUAUCGCCUUUGGAUGGGCCCGCGUUGGAUUAGCUAGUUGGUAGGGUAAAAGCCUACCAAGGCGACGAUCCAUAGCUGGUCUGAGAGGAUGAUCAGCCACACUGGGACUGAGACACGGCCCAGACUCCUACGGGAGGCAGCAGUGGGGAAUAUUGGAAAAUGGGCGAAGGCAUGAUCCAGCAAUGCCGCGUGAGUGAUGAAGGCCUUAGGGUUGUAAAGCUCUUUUACCCGGGAUGAUAAUGACAGUACCGGGAGAAUAAGCUCCGGCUAACUCCGUG
rnacentral:rRNA from 1 species